UACGUAGGGUGCAAGCGUUGUCCGGAAUUAUUGGGCGUAAAGAGCUCGUAGGCGGUUUGUCGCGUCCGCUGUGAAAACUCGGGGCUUAACCCCGAGCCUGCAGUGGAUACGGGCAGACUAGAGGUAGGUAGGGGAGAAUGGAAUUCCCGGUGUAGCGGUGAAAUGCGCAGAUAUCGGGAGGAACACCGGUGGCGAAGGCGGUUCUCUGGGCCUUACCUGACGCUGAGGAGCGAAAGCGUGGGGAGCGAACAGG
rnacentral:rRNA from 1 species